AUACGGGGGGGGCAAGCGUUGUUCGGAAUUACUGGGCGUAAAGGGCUCGUAGGCGGCCAACUAAGUCGGAUGUGAAAUCCCCAGGCUUAACUUGGGAGCUGCAUCCGAUACUGGAUGGCUUGAAUCCGGGAGAGGGAUGCGGAAUUCCAGGUGUAGCGGUGAAAUGCGUAGAUAUCUGGAGGAACACCGGUGGCGAAGGCGGCAUCCUGGACCGGCAUUGACGCUGAUGAGCGAAAGCCAGGGGAGCAAACG
rnacentral:rRNA from 1 species